rnacentral:SRP_RNA from 1 species
AUUCCGGUCGCGGACGCUGCGCUCGCCAACCCGGUCAGGUCCGGAAGGAAGCAGCCGUAACGAAUCCGCAGCGGGUCGCGGCCGGGCCUCU